rnacentral:rRNA from 1 species
UGAGGAAUAUUGGUCAAUGGGCGCAAGCCUGAACCAGCCAUCCCGCGUGCAGGAAGACGGCGCUAUGCGUUGUAAACUGCUUUUCCAGGGGGAGAAACUUGCGCACGUGUUGCGCAAUUGACGGUACCCUGGGAAUAAGCAUCGGCUAACUCCGUGCCAGCAGCCGCGGUAAUACGGAGGAUGCGAGCGUAAUCCGGUUUCAUUGGGUUUAAAGGGUGCGUAGGCGGACUAUUAAGUCAGUGGUGAAAUCCUGCAGCUUAACUGCAGAACUGCCAUUGAUACUGAUAGCCUUGAGUUUGGUUAAGGUAGGCGGAAUGUGUAAUGUAGCGGUGAAAUGCUUAGAUAUUACACAGAACACCAAUUGCGUAGGCAGCUUACUGAGCCGACACUGACGCUGAGGCACGAAAGCGUGGGGAUCGAACAG